rnacentral:lncRNA from 1 species
AGGUUUGUUAAUACUUUAUUAGUAUUUUCUAAUGGACAAAACAUAAUGCAAACCAAAUAAAAUUUUAAAUCUUUUUAGUUCAAUAAAAAUAACUGACAUUCUGAUUGCUGUUUCUUCUUUGUUAAAGAAGUAUUGAUAGAAUAGUUAGGCACACAGUUGACACUUAUUGUACAAUGAUAUGCACAAGUUAUCUUUAAACAAUUGUAAUCCUAAAAUGUGCUCUUUAUAUUUUUCCCUUGUAAUACAGGAGCCAUGCUCCUAUAAGCAAAAUUUACUAAUAACAAAAGAAUUUUACAAGGAGUGACAAAACGACUUUUAAAACAAGUCCUUAAAUAAAAGGAUGCAGCAACAACGGAAUGUUAAGUUGUUGGGUUAAGAAGACAGUUUAACUAGAUCUCAAAACAUUAAAAAUUCAUUUAUUUUACAAUUACUCAAAUACACAUGCAUUAAAUGAAAAUAUUGCACAAAUUAAAAUUUUAGAUUGUGAAAUUUUAUAUUGUUCUUAAAUUUUUAAAAAUUGGUACACUUUCUAGUAGCACUUAACUGUUUGAUUUUUUUCCAAACACCCGCAGCAGAAACUUAAAAUGAAGGAACUGCUAUAUUCAAGAAAG